UUGAGUGUAAACCACAGAACCGUUCACCUCCGGCCCCCUCUCCCGCCGAUCUUUCUCUACUCCGACGUCCGGCCCCCUCUCUCUACGAUGAAAUAGGGCUUUUCAAUUUCCUUUCACGUCCAAUGCUUCUCGCUACCCUAUUCAAGAAUUGGGUUCCAGGAGUGAUUUGUGUCUGAAAACUCUGCUUCGUGAAGUAAUCAUAGUUUGUCUUCGUUUGUCCUAAAACAUUUUGAUUGUAGAAUUGUUAGGACAUCUUUUCUUCUAAAAUCUUAUUUACAGCUAGAGAACCAGGACAUACCAGGCCCUAGCUUCAAAACUCAUCCGAACAUCAACAAAGAGUUAUUUAACAGCGAGCAUAUUAUGGGUUUGAAAGAUCCAAACAGGUCAUUCCCUACUGAUCAAAAUGAUGUUGGUCUUAUGAAAUGGAGAAUUCAGGGCAUGGAUGAGUCCUCUUUGCCAUUAACUGUUAACUGCUGGCCCUCAGUUUCUGGAAAUGAAACUUCUGUAUGAACAUUGAGUAUAAAGCUUCAAAAAUGUUUGACUUGCGAAAUGUUGUGAUAUCCAUACAUCUUCCUGCACUUCGGGAGCAACCUAGUGUGAGGCAGAUUGAUGGAGAAUGGAGGCAAGUGUUCUGAAAUUUAGGUACCUCUAAUGAUGAAAGUUGACAGAAUCAAAAGGGACUUCAACUUAUCAGUAAACUAGAUGGCAGUUUUAUACGCAUAGUGGUUACAGUUGAGAAAGCAAGUGACAAGGGAGGUUGGAUCUGACAGCAAUACUGGAUCACCACCUGUUUAUUCGAUGAUUGACGAUGCGAUCCUGGAUGUAGUCCUCAGAUGAUAGAUAAGGCCUGGGCACAACAUGCAUUCCUUGAAGAAAUUCUAUUGCAGUUCGUCGUCCGACCAAUCCGGAUGGUCUGAUGAUGCCUCGGUGCCAGAGACAGUCAGGACAUCAAUGAGCUCGAUACAGGGUGAAAUUGAUUACUAGAUAAAUCGCAAUCAAACUUUUGAAAGGAUAGUGGCUAUGAUGGUGGGAUGCCUCGAUAUUGAUGUCUCUGAGUUAGUAGCCCUAUAGCCGCAUGAUGUCGCCUCUGCACAGUCAUUGAGACACACAUUGAGUCAAAGAUCAAUGCCUGGAGAAGAGAACGAGGCUAACAACUCUGAUGAUUCAUAGUUUGUAGGUUUUUAUAUUUUAAAUAGUAUAUGAAUUUGUGAACUCAUACUUUUGUAUCUGUUAAUGACAUAUGUGAAACUUAAUGAUGCUUGGAUCUUAUGGAUAUGGUUUGUAUAUAUGUUAUGUUUUGAUUGAUAUGGUAGUGCAUUAAACAUAUUU